rnacentral:tRNA from 1 species
GCGAAGCGUCUUAACCGGACUUCGAAUCCGUAGGCCGGGGGUUCGAAUCCCUCCAGGCGCGCCA